GAGAGUAGAGAGUUGAGAGUAUAUUAUGGAGAGAGUAAGGAUUGAUAGUGUAGAGAUUAGAGAGAGAUUAGAGUGAGAGAGAGAUCAAAGGCAUUAAUUGCCAAUAUUCUUUAAGAUUUGCAAAAUCUCUAUAAGAUCAUCUAAAUCUUGCAAAUCCAUUCAUAUCUCUCAAGCAACUCUCUCUCUCCUUCAUCCUCACCAAUCGGCCACCUCUCUCUCUCCUUUCUCUCUCAUAAUUCCUCCAUUGUCAACCAUUGGAGAGACCUCCGAAGCUUCACCAAAAUAUGCCAAACACAUAAAUCACCAACAAAAUUCCACCUAAACACCUCCUAUCAACUUGAAUCCAAGGAAAUCCUUGAAGAUUGGCUUCAAGACUAGUGAGAGAAAGUUUGUUUGUUGGUGAAAAACUUGAACACGAGCAGAGCAGGGAAGUAAGUAACUCCGCUUUGACGGGAGUUUUUGAGUAAGGUCUUCAGACUAAGCGAGGAGCGAGAUUGGUCUGGUGCUGGCGGGGAAAUGUUGGAGGAUGUAUUUACUUUAUCGUAUUUCCAUUUUGACGAUAAAGUCUUGAUGAUUGAUAUACUUAAAUUUUCUUUGGAAGUUAAGCAAUGUACUCACGGUUAUAUGUCUUCAUACAUAUAAUCGGUUCGCCUUUUGCUGCGAUACUCUGCAUAUUAUGAUUCCUUACGAAAAAUGAGCGAUACCCGUUUUGUUUUUGUUCGUGAAAUUCCUGAUAAUUAAAAAGUUAUAACGACAUUGACGAUUUUA